UACGGAGGGUGCGAGCGUUAAUCGGAAUUACUGGGCGUAAAGCGCGCGUAGGUGGCUUGAUAAGCCGGUUGUGAAAGCCCCGGGCUCAACCUGGGAAGGGCAUCCGGAACUGUCAGGCUAGAGUGCAGGAGAGGAAGGUAGAAUUCCAGGUGUAGCGGUGAAAUGCGUAGAGAUCGGGAGGAAUACCAGUGGCGAAGGCGGCUUUCUGGACUGACACUGACACUGAGGUGCGAAAGCGUGGGGAGCAAACAGG
rnacentral:misc_RNA from 1 species